GGAAUAUUGGACAAUGGGCGCAAGCCUGAUCCAGCCAUGCCGCGUGUGUGAAGAAGGCCUUCGGGUUGUAAAGCACUUUUGUACGGGAAGAAAAGCACUCGGUUAAUACCCGGGUGUCAUGACGGUACCGUAAGAAUAAGCACCGGCUAACUUCGUGCCAGCAGCCGCGGUAAUACGAAGGGUGCAAGCGUUACUCGGAAUUACUGGGCGUAAAGCGUGCGUAGGUGGUUUGUUAAGUCUGAUGUGAAAGCCCUGGGCUCAACCUGGGAAUUGCAUUGGAUACUGGCAGUCUAGAGUGCGGUAGAGGGUAGCGGAAUUCCCAGUGUAGAGGUGAAAUUCGUAGAUAUUGGGAAGAACACCGGUGGCGAAGGCGGCCAUCUGGUCCGGUACUGACGCUGAGGCGCGAAAGCGUGGGGAGCAAAC
rnacentral:rRNA from 1 species